rnacentral:rRNA from 1 species
UACGUAGGGACCGAGCGUUGUCCGGAAUCAUUGGGCGUAAAGAGCGUGUAGGCGGCUAUUUAAGUCCUGCGUGAAAUCCUGGCGGCUACAACCGCAGACGGUCGUGGGAAACUGGAUGGCUAGAGUGCGGGAGAGGAGAGUGGAAUUCCCGGUGUAGCGGUGAAAUGCGCAGAUAUCGGGAAGAACACCCGUGGCGAAGGCGGCUCUCUGGAACGCAACUGACGCUGAGACGCGAAAGCGUGGGGAGCAAACAGG